ACCUUCGUUCUUCUGCUCUUCUGAAUUCGUAUUGUUUUAGAUCUUGCUUUUGAAAGCUCUCAGGGAUCUGUUAGGGUUUUUUAGAUAAACCAAAAUCAAAUAUAUAAACCCUACGCUGAAACGAAAGCAAGACGACGGUUUAUCCUGUAUAAGGAAAAACAAGAUAUCUCUUAUGAAACAAAUACAAGAUUCACCCAUUCACGGCUUCCUUCAAACAAAAAUCAGUGUUUACGAUGGCCAUGGUAGUCCUCUCAUUCUUGAUUUGGUACAUUUAGCGCAUUUAAUAAACUUCAACACUUAUCGUCCAUACUUAAUAGAUUCUUCAUUUUUGUUGGUUUUGACACAACAUAUUCCACCUUCAUGGUGUUUUUUCGGUAUCGCUGCGUUCUUUACAUUUAAUUUACUCACUUUUAAAAAGUUGUAUUCGUGUCAGUGUCGGUGUUUAUAUUUCUUAGCUUAUCUCACUAACAUGUGAUCAUUGACAGGUGAGGGUGCUGAAACAGAUAGGAGUUUACUAUUGUGAGGUCCUUUAAUUGGAUCGGAUCCAUAAUGGACUCCAUUCACGGCAUUACCGGUCCAAAAUAUUCUCAGAGGAGAGCCCCUCAUGCUUUUGAUUUUGAAUUUGGUUUUUAAGGUUUGAUAUUCAUUUGAACAAUGCCAUUCUUGUUGAAGAUAAGCACAAAUCUAUUUAAUAAGGUAUUUACACUACAUGUAAAACAUAUACAGGUACUAAACAUGAUUUGUUGUUGGUUGGAGAACCCUAAUUUUGAAGCUUUUAAGUAUCACACUAACCACAUUUCUUUUCUCUAUGGUAUUUUCAGGCAGCCAUUUUGUUAGCAAACUUGUCAUUUAUCAUUGUCGGGAAAGCAACGGAAACAGAAGAGUUCUUCGAUGCGGUUAAUUUCAUUUCAUCUAUGCAGGAAACUCUCUGUCUCAUUGUCAAAGUCAGGGAAUCAUAAUGCUUUGGAAGUUGAUGCUAUGGACAAGAUUCCUUGUGUGAGUUAACUUUCCAUCUGCUAAUUGUUAGAAUUAGUCACAUAUUUAUAUCCUUAGCUGUACUAUGUCACUGAUUGAGAAAAUAUUAAGCAUUCAAUCAAUUUAGCAUUCAAUAGGUUUAUUGUAAUUACAUUAUUAAUACAAGUGAGGUGUGUUGUUUUAGACACAAUUACAAAUUCAACAAA